UACGUAGGGGGCAAGCGUUGUCCGGAUUUAUUGGGCGUAAAGAGCGUGUAGGCGGCUUGACAGGUCUGCUGUGAAAAACCUGAGGCUUAACCUCGAGAUGUCAUCGGAAACCAUUUGGCUAGAGUCCGGAAGAGGAGAGUGGAAUUCCUGGUGUAGCGGUGAAAUGCGCAGAUAUCAGGAGGAACACCAAUGGCGAAGGCAGCUCGCUGGAACGGUACUGACGCUGAGGCGCGAAAGCGUGGGGAGCGAACAGG
rnacentral:rRNA from 1 species